UUUUCUUCAAGAUUGGUUUAGAAACAAAUUUGGAGUAGGGUUAGGUUAGGGUUAGAGUUGGUGUUUGGAGUAGGGUUAGUGUUAGUAAAACCGUUGCUUUGUUACGUUUUGUCACUCUGAGACCAGCGAAAUAAUCUCUUCCCGAAAAUGGCGGCAAUAAUUGAUGAAAGUAACGGAAAAACGUAAACAAAAGUGCGCAGUUCAUUGUGGUUGACCAGGACUCUUUAUGUACAAGCAUGGAUU